AACGAACGCUGGCGGCGUGCCUAACACAUGCAAGUCGUGCGAGAAAAGGGGGGCAACUCCCUGAGUACAGCGGCGCACGGGUGAGUAACACGUAGGUAACCUACCCUCGAGCCUGGGAUAACCUACCGAAAGGUGGGCUAAUACCGGAUGUGACCACGGGAGUUUCGGCUCCUGAGGUAAAAGAUGGCCUCUGCUUGCAAGCUAUCACUCGUGGAGGGGCCUGCGCGCCAUUAGCUAGUUGGCGGGGUAAUGGCCCACCAAGGCUCUGAU
rnacentral:rRNA from 1 species